rnacentral:rRNA from 1 species
CCUACGGGAGGCAGCAGUAGGGAAUAUUGCUCAAUGGGGGAAACCCUGAAGCAGCAACGCCGCGUGGAGGAUGAAGGUUUUAGGAUUGUAAACUCCUUUUGUUAGAGAAGAGGAUGACGGUAUCUAACGAAUAAGCACCGGCGAACUCCGUGCCAGCAGCCGCGGUAAUACGGAGGGUGCAAGCGUUACGCGGAAUCACUGGGCGUAAAGAGGGCGUAGGCGGGGUAAUAAGUCAGAUGUGAAAUCCUGUAGCUUAACUACAGAACUGCAUUUGAAACUGUUACUCUGGAGUGUGGGAGAGUUAGGUCGAAUUCUUGGUGUAGUGGUCACCUCCGU